rnacentral:rRNA from 1 species
GACGAACGCUGGCGGCGUGCUUAACACAUGCAAGUCGAGCGGAAAGGCCCUUCGGGGUACUCGAGCGGCGAACGGGUGAGUAACACGUGAGUAACCUGCCCUAGGCUUUGGGAUAACCCCGGGAAACCGGGGCUAAUACCGGAUAUGACCUGGUGCCGCAUGGUGUUGGGUGGAAAGUUUUUUCGGCCUGGGAUGGGCUCGCGGCCUAUCAGCUUGUUGGUGGGGUGAUGGCCUACCAAGGCGAUGACGGGUAGCCGGCCUGAGAGGGCGACCGGCCACACUGGGACUGAGACACGGCCCAGACUCCUACGGGAGGCAGCAGUGGGGAAUAUUGCACAAUGGGCGGAAGCCUGAUGCAGCGACGCCGUGUGAGGGAUGAAGGCCUUCGGGUUGUAAACCUCUUUCAGCAGGGACGAAGCGUGAGUGACGGUAUCUGCAGAAGAAGCGCCGGCCAACUACGUG